CUGAGAUCCAGCUGGGCCUUUACACGCUGACCGUAGUGGAUGUACGUACGCGAGUGUGUGUGGUGAUGGGGCUUGAUGGGGGAUAGUAAAUUGACUCUAGCAGACCCCAGACCCGGCCCGCUCUCCAGGGACCCCCGGGCCACACAAGCAGUUCUGGACAGAAGUGCCUGUCACCACUGCAGUGAAAAAUUAUCCAAGAGGUUCUGCUGAACUGUUCCUACAGAGCUGAGGGCUAAAAACUCUGGCGGUCAACGAGAGGAUUGAAUGCAGUGAGGCUUUCUAAAAAAAGAAAUUCCACAGAAGAGAGAUAUGGUCCUCAACUGAUAAGGAUACUUAAAUGGGUUUCAUUUACAUUUACAUUUAUGCAUUUGGCAGACGUUUUUAUCCAAAGCUACUUACAUUGUUUUAUCCUAUACAUUUUACAUAGGUAUUUGCAAUCCCCUGGGAUCGAACCCACAACCUUCUCUUACCACUGAGCUACAGGAAAGUUGUAAAUGUCUAGUAAUGUGUUAUGUCUUGAAAAUGUAUUUAGCUGUUCAUUUUGAAAUUCAUAUCUACCAUCAUAUAAAUCUGGAUGUUAACAGAUCUAUUUUUACACGUCUCUAUACGUUUUUUGUGUUGUAGCCGCUUACAGACAGAAGAAACUUUGUGACUGUGCAAUUACACUACAUUGCCAAUAGAUGUCAGCAUAAAAUUGGAGCAUUCGGCCCUUGCUUGCUGCGACUGCAUCCUACAGCGGUUGACGCACAGUCUAGUCAAUCAACGAGUUCACAUUCACAGAGGCAACGUUUUGUGCUUGAGAAGGUACUUCGUAAGGAAAAUGCUACAUACUUCCAUGUCCUGACUAAUAACAACUAUUGCAAUGCUCUACUUGCUGGACUUUCUCCUUGCAAAACAAAACCACUACAGAUGAUCCAGAAUGCAGCGGCAAGAGAGGUCUUCAAUGAACCGAAGAGAGCACACAUCACUCCUCUUUUCAAUAAGUUACAUUGGCUCCCUAUAGUCGCUCGCAUCAAAUUCAAGACUCUGCUCCUGGCCUACAAGACCACCACUGGUUCGGCACCACCUUAUCUUCAUUCACUUAUGCAGACUUAUGUACCCGCCAAACCUUAUGCUCUGCAAAAGAACAACGUCUUGUGGUGCCAUCCCAAAAAGAUAAAAAAUCGCUCUCAUGAACCUUCUCUGGAUCGGUUCUACAUCUGUGCAAUGAUCUGUCUGCUAUCCGCAGAUUCUGUGGCCAUCUUUAAGAAUCGGCUGAAAACACAUCUCUUCUGUCAGCACCUGACCAGUCAUUUCUGAUUUCUGUAUCUUUUCUACUCUAUCUAUAUAUAAACAAACAAAAAAAUGCAUGCUUACUUAAACUUAGAUAAACUAAACUUGGCGCUGUGCACUGUAGUAGGUUUUGUGAAACAUGUUUUUAUUGCUUUUAAAACUAUGAUUUUAUGUCUUUAUUUUUGUCAUAUUACUCUCAGACUG